AUGCAGCUUACGGGUGGAUGUCGCAAGAGCAGCUCGAUUCAACGCGACGUGCUCCAGUUUUUGGGACUCCUUUUUGUUUUCACGGGAGAUUUGCACUUGAAAAGCCGCUGUCAAGUCUGCAUGCGCGAACACGCACGUAGUCAGUCCAGAAGCAGAAAUGAUGCCCUCUGGUUUCCAGAGCGAUCCCGGCUUCCUUCUGCACACCUAGCACACCAACCCCCAGAGCAGCCACAAGCAGCUCUCAACCCAGACCCCUGGGUGAAGACAGGAUGGCAAAUCCACGAGCCCCUGCCGAGGUUUCCCCGAAGGAGAAAGGUGUCUUUCCAAGGAAAGGAGCUCGUUCCUAAUGACACAGCACCGCCAGCUCACGCCAUCCAUCCGAAAGGUGCUUUGACCAUGAACUCCCACUCCCGGGGUGGAUUUUGCAUUCCUGAUGUAGGAAAAGCAGCGGUGCCCCCGCCGGCACCCGGGGCCGGUUCCUGCAGCUCCCGCCCUGCCCCGGGGCCGCUGCUGCAAGAGGAGCCUGGCUGCAGCCGGGUCCGGCCACAGACGGGGCAGUUUUGCCUCUCUGCAAUACAACCGGUGCCAGGCUGUACUGCAAAGCCGAAUCUGUGUUGGUUUAAGGGACCUGCGUGCUCUGAGCAUCACUGCAGCCUGUCCUACAGGGGCUCGCUCGCAGCACUCGUGGCCGAGCCAUGCCGUGCCGGGAGGCAGGGAUGUGCCGGAGCCUGCGGGGAGCCUGCCUGGUGGGGCUGGGGGCUGGAAGGCAUCGAUGGAUUGGCUUUAGGGACCUUUAGGGUCUCCCCCAAAAUGCCCUGGGAAACGUGGUGUGCACCCCGGCAGCACGGAGCUGUUUUUGCAGAGCUCCCCCCAGCUCCGUGGCCCAGCGUUUCCUCCGUCCGGUGCGAGCACAGCGAGCUCGGCACAGCCGGGAGGAGCCGUGCCAGGAGCUGGUCCUGUCCCUCUCACCACUGGAAGCGUUAUCGGGACAGGAGUGAAAUCUGGAGCCGGGCCGAGGUGGGAGAGGUGUGGGAACGCAGACAAGGCAGGGUUAUUUCCCCUGCCCCUGGAGAAGCGAGGCAGGAAAGACAUACAAAUAGACAUAAUUGA
rnacentral:lncRNA from 1 species